rnacentral:rRNA from 1 species
GAUGAACGCUGGCGGCGUGCUUAACACAUGCAAGUCGAACGGAAAGGCCCAAGCUUGCUUGGGUACUCGAGUGGCGAACGGGUGAGUAACACGUGGGUGAUCUGCCCUGCACUUCGGGAUAAGCCUGGGAAACUGGGUCUAAUACUGGAUAGGACCACUUCUUGGAUGGUGUGGUGGAAAGUUUUUUCGGUGUGGGAUGAGCUCGCGGCCUAUCAGCUUGUUGGUGGGGUAAUGGCCUACCAAGGGGUCGACGGGUAGCCGGCCUGAGAGGGUGUACGGCAUCAGUGGGACAGAGAUGCGGCCCACAGUCGUACGGGGGGCAGCAGUGGGGAAGAUUGCACAAUGGGCGCAAGCCUGAUGCGGCAAGGCGGCGUGGGGGAUGACGGCCUCCGGGGUGUAAGCUCCUGGCGCUGGGGACGAAGGGUUUUUGUGCCGGUGCCUGGUGAAGAAGCGCCGGCUAACUACGUG